CGAACGGGUGAGUAAUGCGUGACCAACCUGCCCCAUGCUCCAGAAUAGCUCUUGGAAACGGGUGGUAAUGCUGGAUGCUCAACUUGACGCAUGUCCUGUUGGGAAAGUGUUUAGUGGCAUGGGAUGGGGUCGCGUCCUAUCAGCUUGUAGGCGGGGUAAUGGCCCACCUAGGCUUCGACGGGUAGCCGGCCUGAGAGGGCGGACGGCCACAUUGGGACUGAGAUACGGCCCAGACUCCUACGGGAGGCAGCAGGC
rnacentral:rRNA from 1 species